UCCGAAUUGGUGUAGUGGCUAACAUUACACGCUCUCAUGUGUUGAAACAUACAUAUAGUACCGUGUAGCCCGGGGUUCGAUUCCCCGAUUCGGAG